rnacentral:rRNA from 1 species
CUGCUGCCUCCCGUAGGAGUUUGGGCCGUGUCUCAGUCCCAAUGUGGCCGUCCACCCUCUCAGGCCGGCUACUGAUCGUCGCCUUGGUGGGCCGUUACCCCGCCAACAAGCUAAUCAGACGCGGGUCCAUCUUACACCACCGGAGUUUUUCACACAAAUCCAUGCGGCUUCGUGCGCUUAUGCGGUAUUAGCACCUAUUUCUAAGUGUUAUCCCCCAGUGUAAGGCAGGUUACCCACGCGUUACUCACCCGUCCGCCACUAAG